rnacentral:rRNA from 1 species
CUCUUCGGGGAUGAUUAAACCGGCGCACGGGUGAGUAACACGUGAGUGACCUGCCUUUUAGACUGGAACAACUUACCGAAAGGUGAGCUAAUGCCGGAUGAGUUAUAUAAGUGCAUGUUUAUAUAGGAAAAGUUGGGGAGACCUGACGCUGAAAGAUGGACUCGCGUCCCAUUAGCUAGUUGGUAGGGUAAUGGCCUACCAAGGCGACGAUGGGUAGCCGGCCUGAGAGGGUGGCCGGCCACACUGGGACUGAGACACGGCCCAGACUCCUACGGGAGGCAGCAGUGGGGAAUUUUGCGCAAUGCUCGUAAGAGUGACGCAGCGACGCCGCGUGAAUGACGAAGGCCUUCGGGUCGUAAAGUUCUUUCGACAGGGAAGAAAAUGCCUAUAAGUAACUGUGUAUGUAUUGACGGUACCUGUAUAAGCAGCCCCGGCUAACUCCGUGCCAGCAGCCGCGGUAAUACGGAGGGGGCGAGCGUUGUUCGGAGUGACUGGGCGUAAAGAGCACGUAGGCGGUGUUGUAAGUCAUUAGUCAAAGACUAGAGCUCAACUUUAGUAAGGCUAGUGAUACUAUAAUACUAGAGUAUCAGAGAGGAUUGCAGAAUUCCUGGUGUAGCGGUGAAAUGCGUAGAUAUCAGGAGGAAUACCGUUAGCGAAGGCGGCAAUCUGGCUGGAAACUGACGCUGAGGUGCGAAAGCGUGGGUAGCAAACAGGAUUAGAUACCCUGGUAGUCCACGCUGUNAACGAUGGAUGCUAGGUGUUGGGCUUUUAANUUCAGUGCCGC